CCUACGGGAGGCAGCAGUGGGGAAUUUUGGACAAUGGGCGCAAGCCUGAUCCAGCAAUGCCGCGUGAGUGAAGAAGGCCUUCGGGUUGUAAAGCUCUUUUGUCAGGGAAGAAACGGUGGGAGCUAAUAUCUCCCGCUAAUGACGGUACCUGAAGAAUAAGCACCGGCUAACUACGUGCCAGCAGCCGCGGUAAUACGUAGGGUGCAAGCGUUAAUCGGAAUUACUGGGCGUAAAGCGUGCGCAGGCGGUUUUGUAAGUCUGUCGUGAAAGCCCCGGGCUCAACCUGGGAAUUGCGAUGGAGACUGCAAGGCUUGAAUCUGGCAGAGGGGGGUAGAAUUCCACGUGUAGCAGUGAAAUGCGUAGAGAUGUGGAGGAACACCGAUGGCGAAGGCAGCCCCCUGGGUCAAGAUUGACGCUCAUGCACGAAAGCGUGGGGAGCAAACAGGAUUAGAUACCCUGGUAGUCCACGCCCUAAACGAUGUCUACUAGUUGUCGGGUUUUAAUUAACUUGGUAACGCAGCUAACGCGUGAAGUAGACCGCCUGGGGAUACGGUCGCAAGAUUAAAACUCAAAUGAAUUGACCGG
rnacentral:rRNA from 1 species